rnacentral:rRNA from 1 species
AAAUUGAAGAGUUUGAUCAUGGCUCAGAUUGAACGCUGGCGGCAGGCCUAACACAUGCAAGUCGAACGGUAACAGGAAUCAGCUUGCUGAUUCGCUGACGAGUGGCGGACGGGUGAGUAAUGUCUGGGAAACUGCCUGAUGGAGGGGGAUAACUACUGGAAACGGUAGCUAAUACCGCAUAACGUCGCAAGACCAAAGAGGGGGACCUUCGGGCCUCUUGCCAUCGGAUGUGCCCAGAUGGGAUUAGCUAGUAGGUGGGGUAACGGCUCACCUAGGCGACGAUCCCUAGCUGGUCUGAGAGGAUGACCAGCCACACUGGAACUGAGACACGGUCCAGACUCCUACGGGAGGCAGCAGUGGGGAAUAUUGCACAAUGGGCGCAAGCCUGAUGCAGCCAUGCCGCGUGUAUG